GCGCCCGUAGCUCAGUGGAUAGAGCAUCGGUCUUCGGAAUCGAGUGUCGGGGGUUCGAAUCCCUCCGGGCGCGCCU
rnacentral:tRNA from 1 species